AGGCCUAACACAUGCAAGUCGAGCGGAUGAAGGGAGCUUGCUCCUGGAUUCAGCGGCGGACGGGUGAGUAAUGCCUAGGAAUCUGCCCAAUAGUGGGGGAUAACGUUCCGAAAGGAACGCUAAUACCGCAUACGUCCUACGGGAGAAAGCAGGGGACCUUCGGGCCUUGCGCUAUUGGAUGAGCCUAGGUCGGAUUAGCUAGUUGGUGAGGUAAAGGCUCACCAAGGCGACGAUCCGUAGCUGGUCUGAGAGGAUGAUCAGCCACACUGGAACUGAGACACGGUCCAGACUCCUACGGGAGGCAGCAGUGGGGAAUAUUGGACAAUGGGCGAAAGCCUGAUCCAGCCAUGCCGCGUGUGUGAAGAAGGUCUUCGGAUUGUAAAGCACUUUAAGUUGGGAGGAAGGGUUUCUGGCUAAUAUCCAGGAAUUUUGACGUUACCGACAGAAUAAGCACCGGCUAACUUCGUGCCAGCAGCCGCGGUAAUACGAAGGGUGCAAGCGUUAAUCGGAAUUACUGGGCGUAAAGCGCGCGUAGGUGGUUCGUUAAGUUGGAUGUGAAAGCCCCGGGCUCAACCUGGGAACUGCAUCCAAAACUGGCGAGCUAGAGUAGGCAGAGG
rnacentral:rRNA from 1 species